AUUGAACGCUGGCGGCAGGCCUAACACAUGCAAGUCGAGCGAGUGGCGGACGGGUGAGUAAUGUAUGGGGACUGCCAUAUAGAGGGGGAUAACUACUGGAAACGGUGGCUAAUACCGCAUACUAUCGGAUAACCCAUGUUGGAUUAGCUAGUAGGUGGGGUAACGGCUCACCAAGGCGACGAUCCCUAGCUGGUCUGAGAGGAGGACCAGCCAAAUCGGGACUGAGAAACGGCCCAGACUCCAAGGGAGGCAGCAGGGGGGAAUAGUGAGCAAUGGGGGCAAGCCUUAUGGAGCCAUGCCGCGUGGAUGAAGAAGGCCUUCGGGUUGGAAAGUUCUUUCGGUAGCGAGGCGUUAACUACAGAAGAAGCACCGGCUAACUCCGUGCCAGCAGCCGCGGUAAUAC
rnacentral:rRNA from 1 species